rnacentral:lncRNA from 7 species
CGCCAGCUGCGGGGCUUUCAAACCGCGCCCUCUUCCUGCUUGAGGAGCUCAAGAAAUCAUUUGACAGAACCUGGAGUCAUCUUUGGUUGUCAUGAUGGGAGGAUGCAGGAGGAUGGAAGGAGUUAUGUGAUCUGUACCUGGCGUGAAGAUAACAAGGAUAUUGAUACACAGCACAGCACAGCCCACUCACUGAACAUAUCCCUACCCUCCCCAAGCCAGCAGUAACAAGGUUGAAAAACCCUGAGGUGUAAGUUGUGAAUUAAAAACUGAGCAAGUUGUGACAAAGUACUGGGACAAUGGAAGGAUGAGGUGGUGCCAGAGUCUUUUGGGAAAUCAGGGAAACCUCACAUGGCCCAUCUCCAUACAAGAUUAAACUUCAAGAAAUUUCUGGGACACUUCUAUGUGCUUUGCAACCUUCUGUGACCAGCGAGAGGCCUGGGGGGAGUCAGUACUUUCCUACUGUAUUUAUACCUGGCAUAACUAGCAUGACAUUAACCUAGAGAUUAUUAGGAAUGAGAUAAUAAAUACUAAGCUAUAUAAUCAAA